CAGUCGCCGCGGUAAUGCGUAGGUGGCAAGCGUUGUCCGGAAUUAUUGGGCGUAAAGCGCGCGCAGGCGGAUCAGUCAGUCUGUCUUAAAAGUUCGGGGCUUAACCCCGUGAUGGGAUGGAAACUGCUGACCUAGAGUAUCGGAGAGGAAAGUGGAAUUCCUAGUGUAGCGGUGAAAUGCGUAGAUAUUAGGAAGAACACCAGUGGCGAAGGCGACUUUCUGGACGAAAACUGACGCUGAGGCGCGAAAGCCAGGGGAGCGAACGGGAUUAGAUACCCCAGUAGUCCCUGUCUCUUAUACA
rnacentral:rRNA from 1 species